rnacentral:rRNA from 1 species
GACGAACGCUGGCGGCGUGCUUAACACAUGCCAGUCGAACGGAAAGGCCUGCUUUCCCUUGUGGAUUGCGGGUACUCGAGUGGCGAACGGGUGAGUAACACGUGAGUGAUCUGCCCCCAACUUGGGUAUAAGCCUGGGAAACUGGGUCUAAUUCCCGAUAGGACUGCAGGGUGGUGCCUGUGGUGGAAAACGAUUUUCUAGUGGUUGGGGAUGAGCUCGCGGCCUAUCAGCUUGUUGGUGGGGUAAUGGCCUACCAAGGCGGCGACGGGUAGCCGGCCUGAGAGGGUGGACGGCCACAUUGGGACUGAGUUACGGCCCAGACUCCUACGGGAGGCAGCAGUGGGGAAUAUUGCACAAUGGGCGGAAGCCUGAUGCAGCGACGCCGCGUGGGGGAUGACGGCCUUCGGGUUGUAAACUCCUUUCGACCGCGAGGAAGCCACCUGGUUGGAAGGGUGGUGACGGUAGUGGUAGAAGAAGCACCGGCUAACUACGUG